rnacentral:rRNA from 1 species
CGACCGGCGCACGGGUGAGUAACGCGUAUCCAACCUGCCCACCACUUGGGGAGUAACCUUGCGAAAGUAAGACUAAUACCCAAUGAUAUCUCUAGAAGACAUCUGAAAGAGAUUAAAGAUUUAUCGGUGAUGGAUGGGGAUGCGUCUGAUUAGCUUGUUGGCGGGGUAACGGCCCACCAAGGCAACGAUCAGUAGGGGUUCUGAGAGGAAGGUCCCCCACAUUGGAACUGAGACACGGUCCAA